CUGCUACUCCCUUCGUCCAGAAUUACUUGUCGCUCAAAUGGAUGUACCUAGCACUUAGUAUUACAUACAUCUAUUGAUAGAUCUAUUUAAGUGACAAGUAAUUCCGGACGAAGGGAGUACUAG
rnacentral:pre_miRNA from 1 species